AUGGUGCUCCAGAACGACAUCGACCUGCUCAACCCGCCGAAGGAGCUCGAGAAGCUCAAGCACAAGAAGAAGCACCUCGUCCAGUCCCCCAACUCCUUCUUCAUGAUCUUGAGCAUCUGGGACCAGGCAGACAUUGUCAAGGUCAGCGAGGUCGAGCUCAAGGACACAACGGCAGCAGCAGCAGCAAGGUUCGCCCCGCCUCUCGAUUUCAUCUUCUUCCACUCCAUUGCCUGCUGA
rnacentral:rRNA from 1 species